UGCGUAGGUGGCGCCGUAAGUGGGGUGUGAAAUCCCGGGGCUUAACCCCGGGACUGCAUUCCAUACUGCGGUGCUUGAGGACUGGAGAGGAGACUGGAAUUUACGGUGUAGCAGUGAAAUGCGUAGAGAUCGUAAGGAAGACCAGUGGCGGAGGCGGGUCUCUGGACAGUUCCUGACACUGAGGCACGAAGGCCAGGGGAGCAAACG
rnacentral:rRNA from 1 species